rnacentral:rRNA from 1 species
UACGUAGGGGGCAAGCGUUGUCCGGAAUCAUUGGGCGUAAAGCGCGCGUAGGCGGCCCGGUAAGUCCGUUGUGAAAGUCAAAGGCUCAACCUUUGAACGCCGAUGGAUACUGCCGGGCUAGAGUCCGGAAGAGGCGAGUGGAAUUCCUGGUGUAGCGGUGGAAUGCGCAGAUAUCAGGAGGAACACCAAUAGCGAAGGCAGCUCGCUGGGACGGUACUGACGCUGAGGCGCGAAAGCGUGGGGGGCGAACAGG